AGCGAACGCUGGCGGCGUGCCUAACACAUGCAAGUCGAACGUGAACGGAGCAAUCCUAGUAAAGUGGCGUACGGGUGAGUAACACGUAGGUAAUCUACCUUACAGUCUGGAAUAACCUGACGAAAGUCGGGCUAAUACUGGAUAGAGCGACGGAAGCCGUAACGGUUUUUUCGGGAAAGGGAGCUCGAUAAGAGCCUUCGCUGUAAGAUGAGCCUGCGUCUGAUUAGUUAGUUGGUGGGGUAAUGGCCUACCAAGACGAUGAUCAGUAGCUGGUCUGAGAGGAUGAUCAGCCACACUGGAACUGAAACACGGUCCAGACUCCUACGGGAGGCAGCGGUGGGGAAUCUUGCGCAAUGGACGAAAGUCUGACGCAGCCACGCCGCGUGAGUGAAGAAGGCCUUCGGGUUGUAAAGCUCUGUCACCUGGGACGAAAACACUUACGGUUAAUAGCCGUAGGAAUUGACGGUACCAGGGGAGGAAGCACCGGCUAACUUCGUGCCAGCAGCCGCCGCCG
rnacentral:rRNA from 1 species